GCUGAGACUCAGCUGCUGACUCGUUGGUUCAAGAGCUCACCAUCAAGGUAAAUAUCAGUCCAUGCAACAGUAAAGGUGGUGUGCUUCUGAUACAACGAUGCGGGAGCUGCAUCCAGUUG
rnacentral:pre_miRNA from 1 species